GCCUGGGUGGCUCAGUCGGUUAAGCGUCCGACUUCGGCUCAGGUCAUGAUCUCCAGUUCGUGGGUUCGAGCCCCGCAUCAGGCU
rnacentral:tRNA from 1 species